rnacentral:rRNA from 1 species
AUUAGGAAUCUUACGCAAUGGGGGAAACCCUGACGUAGCGACACUGCGUGGAGGAUGAAGGCUUUCGGGUUGUAAACUCCUUUUAUUGUCUGACAAGUUCUGAGUGGACUUUGAAUAAGCACCUGCUAACUGCGUGCCAGAAGCAUCGGUGAUGCGUGGGGUGCAAGCGUUAUCCGGAAUUAUUGGGCGUAAAGAGAAGCGUAGGUGUUCCUGCAUGUCCCUUGUUAAAGACCUCGGCUUAACCGAGGAAAAGCAUGGGAAACUGCAGGAAUUGAGGCAGAGAGGGGGAAGUGGAAUUCCCGGUGGAGCGGUGAAAUGCGUUGAUAUCGGGAGGAACACCAGUGGCGAAGGCGACUUCCUGGCUCUGCUCUGACACUAAGGCUCGAAAGCGUGGGGAGCGAAACGGAUUAGAAACCCUGGUAGUCC